GUUCAGUGUAUUAUAGUGGUGUUUCUGAUGGGGUUGUGUUCAGUGUAUUAUAGUGGUGUGUCUGAUGGGGGUUGUGUUCAGUGUAUUAUAGUGGUGUUUCUGAUGGGGUUGUGUUCAGUGUAUUAUAGUGGUGUGUCUGAUGGGGUUGUGUUCAGUGUAUUAUAGUGGUGUUUCUGAUGGGGUUGUGUUCAGUGUAUUAUAGUGGUGUUUCUGAUGGGGGUUGUGUUCAGUGUAUUAUAGUGGUGUUUCUGAUGGGGUUGUGUUCAGUGUAUUAUAGUGGUGUGUCUGAUGGGGUUGUGUUCAGUGUAUUAUAGUGGUGUUUCUGAUGGGGUUGUGUUCAGUGUAUUAUAGUGGUGUUUCUGAUGGGGUUGUGUUCAGUGUAUUAUAGUGGUGUGUCUGAUGGGGUUUGUGUGUCUGUUUCAAGUGGAUGCUAAUAGAUUAUACAAGUGGUUCGGCAUUUUUAACACACAACUGUAGUAGUUCAUUUCUGUUCAACCCUCAGCCAUGAAAGACGGUGUUCGUCCUCUGUGCAGUUCAGGACAAGCCUCGCUGCUCUGGUUCUGAGCUGCAGCUUUGAUAGGUCUUUCUUUGCUCCACGUGACCACAUGACCAGACAGUAAUUAAUACGGGGGACAAGACCAGAGCCCGAACAACCAGGACAGUGGAUCUUUGUACCCACAACACUCUAAAACAGGGCUCUCCAACCCUGUUCCUGGAGAGAUACCCUCCUGUAGGCUUUAACUCUAACUGUUCCUGGAGAGAUACCCUCCUGGAGGUUUAUACUCCAACCCUGUUCCUGGAGAGAUACCCUCCUGUAGGUUUUAACUCCAACCCUGUUCCUGGAGAGAAACCCUCCUGUAGGUUUUAACUCCAACCCUGUUCCUGGAGAGAAACCCUCCUGUAGGUUUUAACUCCAACCCUGUUCCUGGAGAGAUACCCUCCUGUAGGUUUUAACUCCAACCCUGUUCCUGGAGAGAUACCCUCCUGUAGGUUUUAACUCCAACCCUGUUCCUGGAGAGAGACCCUCCUGUAGGUUUUAACUCCAACCCUGUUCCUGGAGAGAAACCCUCCUGUAGGUUUUAACUCCAACCCUGUUCCUGGAGAGAAACCCUCCUGUAGGUUUUAACUCCAACCCUGUUCCUGGAGAGAUACCCUCCUGUAGGUUUUAACUCCAACCCUGUUCCUGGAGAGAUACCCUCCUGUAGGUUUUAACUCCAACCCUGUUCCUGGAGAGAUACUCUC